UGCUGGGGGAUAAACAUCUGUAAACGUCGAUCGGCACCACCGUAAUGUUUGCCGAAUGUUCGGCUACCCAGAGUUCGGUAAAAUUUUACCGAACUUUUUAAGUGUGCUGCAAGUCCAAGCAACAAGACAUAUCGACAUUUAAAUUUGCUCCGGAUUUGUUCAAAUUUUGUGUACUUGAUCCCAGUUGACCUCGAGGUAAGACGCUGGUCUAAUAAGCGUCGUAUGUUCAAAUCUCGGCUGGGAGAGGUUGUUAGAGUCAAUAGGAUCGUAGCACUGACCCCGCACUGUCCUGUAUUGUAACAGCUGGUUGCGAAGCCUGUCGUAUAAAAACAGAAGGUCAAAUUUCGAUAACGGAAUUAGCACCCAGGCUUUGCUUCGCUUUGCUUUGGUCCUUUUCAAGAAAUUUUAGGUUUAUUUGCAUCAUAAAUAGAAAAUGUCAACACAUUUUCUUUCAAUUAAAAUGAAAACAAAAUGGAAGCAAGGUCUGAUACAUUAUUAGUGCCAUUUGGGCUCGGUAACAAAACAUGAUUUCUAGUUGAUUUUAACGGCAGAAUAUGUAAUAAUUUUGAUAUUUUUUUUGUAUGGGCUUAUCACUUUGACCACAACAUUAUUGAUCUACUGUAAUGUUGCCCGGUGUAUGCUGUAUUCUGCCACGCGCUUUUGAUAAACCAUCUUUCUUCAAAAAUUCUUAACUCUUGAGCCACUGAACUAAUUUUAAUGAUUUUUGUGAACUGAAAGGUAUUUUAGUAAGGUAAAGGUAUAGGUAAAGUCAAAAUUUUUGAUGAUCACCAAAAUAUUAAAAACAUUCAUUCGUUUCAGAUGAAGAAUGGCAACAACAUUCCCCUAAGAUAAAAUGACAACAACAACCUUGAGUAACGUACACCGGGGCUAUAUGAAACGAUUUUUCCAAAAUACUUGCGGUGACUUAGACUUCGAAGCCGGUUACUAGCGCACAGGACUAUUACGGGGCUAGUACAACGAUCCCAAUGACUCUAGCAGCACCGCCCAACCGAGAUUCGAACAUAAGACGACUGGCUUGUUAGACCCGUGUCGUACCUGAAAACUAACUGGGCGGGUACUGUUGCACCAAAAAUCAACUCGCACUACAUUCAAAUGGUUAUUAGAGCAUUAAGAAACAUUGCGAAUUUGCAAAUGGACACUGAUAUACUAUAGUACUCGCAUGCUCGCUAAAAGUUUAGAAUAUAUAAUCU